rnacentral:rRNA from 1 species
UAGGGAAUCUUCCACAAUGGACGCAAGUCUGAUGGAGCAACGCCGCGUGAGUGAAGAAGAUCUUCGGAUCGUAAAACUCUGUUGUUAGAGAAGAACACGAGUGAGAGUAACUGUUCAUUCGAUGACGGUAUCUAACCAGCAAGUCACGGCUAACUACGUGCCAU